rnacentral:rRNA from 1 species
GUGGGGAAUCUUGCGCAAUGGGCGAAAGCCUGACGCAGCCAUGCCGCGUGAAUGAUGAAGGUCUUAGGAUUGUAAAAUUCUUUCACCGGGGACGAUAAUGACGGUACCCGGAGAAGAAGCCCCGGCUAACUUCGUGCCAGCAGCCGCGGUAAUACGAAGGGGGCUAGCGUUGCUCGGAAUUACUGGGCGUAAAGGGCGCGUAGGCGGACAGUUUAGUCAGAGGUGAAAGCCCAGGGCUCAACCUUGGCAUUGCCUUUGAUAAUGGCUGUCUUGAGUACGGGAGAGGUGAGUGGAACUCCGAGUGUAGAGGUGACAUUCGUAGAUAUUCGGAAGAACACCAGUGGCGAAGGCGACUCACUGGCCCGUUACUGACGCUGAGGCGCGAAAGCGUGGGGAGCAAACAGGAUUAGAUACCCGAGUAGUCC